rnacentral:lncRNA from 1 species
GCGCAGUAUCCUUGUAUCUUUCCCGCGCAACCCACGCCGUGCGUCCCUCCCUCUCUCAACGUUUGUCAAUCUAGCUGCCGUCCUCCAUUCUCAGGUAUCUUGCUUUUCUUUUCUUUUAUUUUUAAUUUCAUUUUAAUUAACCAUUUAGGCUUAUUAGAUUAGGGGAUUAGGGUUUGCCAAUUAGGAUUUCAAUUUGGGGUUAAGGUUUGCCGAUUAGGAUUUCGAUUUGGGGAUUAGGGUUUAGAAUAUGGGAUCAGGGUUCGACAUUACGGUUUCUAAAUUUGGGGAAUUUAAUAAUUUGGCCUUAAUUUGUAGUGAGGGGUAGUUUUUAGGUAGGGGGAAUUUAAUUAGAGAAUGUAAUUUGGGGGGCUAGGGGUAGGCACAGAUUAGAUUAGGGAUAUGGAAAUUUUCUAAUUUAAGGGAAUGGUAUAUAAUUAGGGUUAAUUUUAUAAUUAGGGCUAAUUUUUAAUUAGGGGUAGUUUUUAAAUAGGGGGAAUUUAAUUAGAGAAUGUAAUUUGGGGGAUUAGGGUUAGGGAAGGCACGAAUUAGAUUAGGGGUAGGGAAUUUUUCUAAUUUAGGGGAAUGAUAUAUAAUUAGGGUUAAUUUUAUAAUUAGGGCUCAAUUGAAAUUAGGGCUAAUUUGUGAUUAGGGGGAAUUUAAUUAGAGAAUGUAAUUUGGGGGAUUAGGGUUAGGGGUAGGCAUGGAUUAGAUUAGGGUUAGGGAAUUUUCUAAUUUAGGGAAUGAUAUAUAAUUAGGGCUCAUCGAAAUUAGGCGUGGAUUAGAUUAGGGAUAGGGGAAUUUUCUAAUUUAGGGGAAUGAUAUAUAAUUAGGGUUAAUUUCAUAAUUAGGGCUCAAUUGAAAUUAGGGGUAGUUUUUAAUUAGGAGGAAUUUAAUUAGAGAAUGUAAUUUGGGGGAUUAGGGUUAGGGGUAGGCAUGGAGUAGAUUAGAGAUAAUGGAAUUUUCUAAUUUAGGGGUGUUGAUGCACAAAAUUAGAGAGGACUUUGGUACAACAGAAAAUGUUAAGUUUGUGACCUUCGCUAGAUUGCUCCGGUCACUAGUGUGGAUAAGUAUGUAAAUGGAUAGAGACAGGGAAGCAAACACAAGAUGUACGUGGUUCACCCAGAUUGACUACGUCCACGGAGUAGAGGAGUUCUCAUUAAUUAUAAAGGGUUUACACAAGUACAUAGGUUCAAGCUCUCUUUUAGUGAGUACUAGUGAAUGAUUUAGUACAA